rnacentral:rRNA from 1 species
UACGUAGGGGGCAAGCGUUGUCCGGAAUUAUUGGGCGUAAAGGGCUCGUAGGCGGUCCGUUACGUCGGGAGUGAAAACUCGGAGCGUCCAACCUCCGAGCCUGCUUCCGAUACGGGCAGACUAGAGGUAGGCAGGGAGAGCGGAACUCCUGGUGUAGCGGUGGAAUGCGCAGAUAUCAGGAAGAACACCGGUGGCGAAGGCGGCAUCCUGGACCGGUAUUGACGCUGAGGCGCGAAAGCUAGGGGAGCAAACGGG